AGCUUUGCCCGUUUGAAGUCGAGUUUCUAUCCCUUCAAGAUGUUGUUGGAUUUUAUCCUGAUGGAAGAGGAAGAUCAAAAGUUUUCAGUCGUAGUUUCACCCCAUAAGGCUCUAUAAAGGAAAUCCGAUAUCAGGGAAGAUUCUUCGAAAGGGAUAACAAGGACUUGCCUAAUCCCAAGAGUUCAGAUCCAAUUCAAAAAAAAAGAGCAAAAAAAUCAAAAUUAAAACAAAAAGAAGAAAAAAGGAAAAUCAAAAUCAAGGUCAAAAUGAAAAUGAAAAAAAAGAAAAAUCUAGAUGAAAAAAAUCAAAAUAAAAAAAUAAAAAAGGAAAAAGAAAAGGAUAGGCCGAGGCGAAAACCCGCAAAGGGCGCUUUGUGACCAAAGGAGGUUUUGAGUUGAAAACACGAAAAGGGCGACUCGA
rnacentral:lncRNA from 1 species